rfam:Daphnia pulex DAPPTscaffold_105_Cont4568, whole genome shotgun sequence.
CCUUCGAUAGCUCAGUUGGUAGAGCGGUGGACUGUAGUGAUACGAUAUAAAAUGCAAGGAAUCCAUAGGUCGCUGGUUCAACUCCGGCUUGAAGGA